CUAGGCAGGGGGCUGCUCUAGUUGGCUGGGGCAAAGGGAAGGCCUCCCUCACGGCAUUGGCGGGUGGGGUGUGCUUCCUCUGCAGCGUCCUGGCUCUAGGCCACGUGAGGAACCAGAAGUUAAUGGGACCAGUGUUGGCUGCGGACAGAAGGCCAGGGGGUUUCCUGCCUGCUCAGAGGGUCUCCUGGAGAAUCGCUCGGAGGCUCACCAGGCUGUCAGCGCUCAUCAGGUUCCUGGACCGUCGCCAGCCUGUUCUGGGACCGAAGCUGGUCACUUCUCUUCCCCAACAUUUCCAGAGGCGGUCUGCAUCGGAUCAGCUGGGAUGAGGUAACUGAAGCCCAGUGAAGUGAAUUGCCCACAGCCACACAGCAGGAGAGCCAAAAUGGAAGACUGCUGGGAGCUCAGAAGGGGAUGUGCUGGAGCUGCUGACCUUUCGCUGACCACUCCCUGGACACCAAGACUCAAUCAACCAGCCCCCGUGGAUCCCGGCUGCCCCCUACCCCAUUGCCCAAGACUGCUUUCUUUUGAGGUGGCCUCUCUCAGGGACUCCAGCCUUCUGGCUCUUGGUUGGCUCCUCCAGGAUGUGAUGGGACUUGGGCUGAGUGGACGUGUGAGUGUCACCGGGGACUUAGGGUGGGGCGAGAGGCAGUAUAUGUGAGGAGGGGGCUUCCCUUUUCUUGGCGGGGAGAUGCUAGACUCAGGGCCGGGGGCCUUGGGCAGGGGCUCUGCUUGUUUAUGACCCGACUUUGGAGUUGGGAAGAGGCCUGGGGCCCUCAAUUCUAUAGACAGGCCUAACUCCCCUCCACGGCCCGGUCAGCAGAGACCCCCACCCUUCUCCUGCCCCCUGAGUCUAUCAUCUCCCCAUCAAGCUUUGAGGGAGCCCCCGGGGAAGGGGCGGGGAUCCAGUGCCAGGGCUAGAGCAGAGGUAGCUGUCACUGAGGGUGUGUGAUCAAAUGAUCUCUCCUGGAGGAGCGGGGGGGAGAAUGUAACUAACGUGGGAGCGCCCCUCUUCCACCCCCAAUCAGAGAGGGGCAUGAAGAAGAGGCCUUCAAAAGAAAUCACAUUGUCUGCCCUUCCUCCCACUUAGCUUGGCUUUGUAUGUGACGGUUGGAAAUAAAAUAUUUGUUAUUUA